UGGGGGUUGUAGUGUUGGGGUUACAGUUGACUGCUUGUCGGUGGAGGUUGUGGUGUUGGGGCUACAGUUGACUGCUUGUCGGUGGAGGUUGUAGUGUUGGGGUUACAGUUGAUUGCUUGUCGGUGAAGCUUGUAGUGUUGGGGCUACAGUUGACUGCUUGUCGGUGGAGGUUGUAGUGUUGGGGUUACAGUUGAUUGCUUGUCGGUGGAGGUUGUGGUGUUGGGGCUACAGUUGACUGCUUGUCGGUGGAGGUUGUGGUGUUGGGGCUACAGUUGACUGCUUGUCGGUGGAGGUUGUUGUGUUGGGGCUACAGUUGACUGCUUGUCGGUGGAGGUUGUGGUGUUGGGGUUACAGUUGAUUGCCUGUCAGUGGAAGUUGUAGUGUUGGGGUUACAUUUGAUUGCCUGUCGG
ensembl:lncRNA